rnacentral:lncRNA from 1 species
AGGAAGUGAAUUCUCGAAAUCCGAGGAUUGUACUUCAUCCAGGAUCGACUGACUGUCGAGAGGAUACCCUUUGUGGGAGUUAAGAAUGUCCAAAACACAAAAAGUGCUUUGGAGUUGAGUCCGCGAGAGCAAAUGGUGCAAACUGCAUUUUGGGCUGAUGUUGCUCUCGGGGACCGGUCUCUGGAGGUGAGAGACCGGUCCCCUCGGCUGGGUGUAGCGGGGUUGCUUGGUGCAACCGGUCCCUGGCAGGGAGGGACCGGUUCCCGAACGUGGUCCCAGCGAGAAAUGCCGAAAUUUGGCUAAGUCCUGAAAAUUGAGCUCUCGGGGACCGGUCUCUCAAGCGAAGACCGGUCUCCCGAGGACC